UACGAACUGUGCAAACGUUAUUCGGAAUCACUGGGCUUACAGGGUGCGUAGGCGGCCAGACAAGUAGGGUGUGAAAGCCCCCGGCUUAACCGGGGAAUGGCGCCCUAAACUGUAUGGCUGGAGUGAGAUAGGGGUGUGCGGAACUUCCGGUGGAGCGGUGAAAUGUGUUGAUAUCGGAAGGAACGCCGGUGGCGAAAGCGGCACACUGGAUCUCGACUGACGCUGAGGCACGAAAGCCAGGGGAGCGAACGGG
rnacentral:rRNA from 1 species